GAUGAAGAACGUAGCGAAAUGCGAUAAGUAGUGUGAAUUGCAGAAUUCCGUGAACCAUCAAAUCUUUGAACGCAUAUUGCGCUCGAGGCUUCGGCCGAGAGCAUGUCUGCCUCAGCGUCGGUAUUACCCCUCGCUUCUCAACCCCUGGUUGAUGCCUGCCUGCCUUUGCAGUUGGCUAGAAGCGGAUCUGGCUUUCCCAAUUGCCUUUGGUAGUUGGGUCAGCUGAAGCACAGAGGCUUGAGCAAGGACCCUUAUUGGGCUUCAACUGGAUAGGUAGAACUGGUCUUAGGACCAACUACACGAAGUUGUUGCUUGUGGUCUUUGUCUGGAGGCCAGCAGGAAACCUUUAUACCUUCGACCUGAGCUCAGGCAAGAUUACCCGCUGAACUUAAGCAUAUCAAUAAGCGGAGGA
rnacentral:misc_RNA from 1 species